GACGAACGCUGGCGGCGUGCUUAACACAUGCAAGUCGAACGGAAAGGCCCUGCUUUUGUGGGGUGCUCGAGUGGCGAACGGGUGAGUAACACGUGAGUAACCUGCCCUUGACUUUGGGAUAACUUCAGGAAACUGGGGCUAAUACCGGAUAGGAGCUCCUGCUGCAUGGUGGGGGUUGGAAAGUUUCGGCGGUUGGGGAUGGACUCGCGGCUUAUCAGCUUGUUGGUGGGGUAGUGGCUUACCAAGGCUUUGACGGGUAGCCGGCCUGAGAGGGUGACCGGCAACAUGGGGCCUGAGAUACGGCCCAGACUCCUACGGGAGGCAGCAGGGGGGAAUAUUGAACAAGGGGCGGAAGCCUGAGGAAGCAACGCCGCGGGGGGGAUGACGGCCUUCGGGUUGUAAACCGCUUUCGCCUGUGACGAAGCGUGAGUGACGGUAAUGGGUAAAGAAGCACCGGCUAACUACGU
rnacentral:rRNA from 1 species